AAUCUACAAAUGUCAAAGCUGCACGUCAAACAACACAAUAAUAAGAGUUAGAAAAACAUAACCAAACAUUUGAAGUUUGAAUUUAUAUUAUCAAUUGGACAAAGAAACAUGUAACGUGUGAGUAGACUUGGAUGCAGAUUAUCAAAUUCAGUCGUUCAAUUGAAAGGAGCCAACGAUUGUGCCAACGAAUCAAAUAAGAUGCAUUUUCUCUGGCGAAGGGCUGGGAAUUAAAAAUUACGAAUUGGUUCGAAAACAAGUCGGAGACUAUGUAAAGAAUUUCGUCCAAAUAUGAUUCGUGGAUCAAGAUUGCAAUUUUACAAAGUAUGAAACUGAACUAAACAAUUUGCUUCACGUUGUCGACAAGAGUGAAAACGAUAUGAUUAUUCUGAAAGAAGCAUUGAACAGAUGAACACAUUAAUUGAAAAACAAAGCGAAUCCUUUUGAAAACAAAACAAAGUUAGGCGCACUUUUAUGAUUAUAGUUUGAAGAAAUAAACAAAAUCAUUGAUCUUGAACGAUAACAUGUUGUGCGCGUAUUGGGGACGGUAUAAUACGUAUAAGAAACUGGCUCUGGAUAGAAGUAUUCAACCCAUACCCAUCGUUUUGCACGUUUUGUGUCACUUUCUGCGUUUUCUUUUGUUGGAUUGGGCUCGGUUGAUACUCUUGUGUUUUAUCCUCAUCUUUAUGCUCUUUUUGUAAUUCCGGCAACGUGAAAGCUGCUGGUUCGCUUUUACCCGAUGGGAAAACGGUUGCAGCUACAACGAAUAAUGCGAAUAAGAUAAAGAUUUUCAUUUUAAACUUUUGCGCUGAAGAAAAUUGAAGUCAACAAAAAGAAAAUCAAAUAAUUUUUUAAUAUCUAAACUAGCUAAUCAAUUGUCCUUUUAUCAUUAUCUAAU